UAGAUGAAAGCCAAAAUAGAGGCGCCUAGCUGUUAAUUAGGAGAAUGUAAUAAAAUUUACUCAUUUAG
rnacentral:tRNA from 3 species